CUCCGUUUGUUUUUCUUCUGCUUCGUGUGAGACAUUAGGCUUGCCGGUGACCCGCGGGGUCAGCGAGAACACAGCCCUCAGCUCGCCGGGGUCAGCUUUGUUUGACGUCUGGAAAUGUUCGGGCUGAAACUCAAAGCAGGACCCGUUAAUCAAAGUUAAUGCAACUUUGAUGCUGCUGCAUCUCCACUUCAUUGAACCUCCAUUACCUCGGCCCCGGCUUCCUCAUUCCGCGUCCCUGUCCGCCCUCCUUCCCCUGUUCAACUGGCUCCAUUACCAGAAGCCCCUCACCGCCACCCCUUUCAUUCAAACCGCUUCCCUUAGGCAUCGCAAACCUCAUUUGCACAGACAUGUUUAGCCAGCACAGGAAGCAACCCAUGCCCUUAACAAAAUUACAGUCCAGCCAACGAAUGAGCCGCGGGGCCGGUCUGCGGGGACCAAUCACUGAAGGCUCUCGGCCCUUACCAGUUCCUCAUUUGAAAGGAGCCUCAAACAAUGUACGUUUCUAGUUUUUUUUUCCUUUUCUGAUGUCGUCCAGCAGCUUUGGACCUGACCAGCAACUCACCUCUCAUGAUGUGAACUAAUGUGCUCCAUUUCGGCUUUUCUCUGCACUUCAUGCGCUGCUUUGAAUGAUGUUAGUGAUAAGGCUUGUAAUGAUGGUGAUGUAAAUGUAGCGAGCGCUGCGUUAACAGACUCAGGGUGCAUGGCCGCGCUCUGAUCGCUAUCUCGGCGGCGCCUCAGUAAUUUGGCUCUGAAGUUUGCUCUAUUAACGGAACGCUGCUUUGCCUUUCCCCUCUCGUGUCCUUUCCUUCUCGCAUCCUGCAUUCCUCUUUUGAUACUCACAAACAAUAUCUAUCUUCCCCGUUCACAUUAGGUAAACGUCAACCUGAUAACUGUACCCGUGUUAAUAGUUUAAACUUUGAACUAUGACCUCAAACGAUAAUCCACAAAAACGUUCAGUGUUUUGAAUGCUCACAAACAUCUGCUGUGCCCUUAAAAAUACAGUCGUGUAAUUAGCUUCUUUCAAUCAAUGCACACUCCUCUUUAGUCUUGUGAUAAAUAGUGCCUGCAUGUAAGAUGCGUCUGUGACAUCUUCUCCGACAGAGAGUUUUGUUCUUAUUUUUCAUGCCGCAGAAAUUCUCUGCUUGCACUCAACGAUAACACGACGGCAAAGUUCUUGGCAGAUCUGAAAAACUCACCGUGACCUCUUACUGGAUUUCCAAGAGUGCGGUUUACUGUUCCGCGCACCGGGACCUCAUUCACCUCCAGCCGUCAACUUGGCGUGUCCUUGGGCAUGCUUAUACAGUACUCCUACAACCAGCUCGAAUACCGACGAGCGAUAUUCCCGAGACUAACCGGCCUCGGUCAUCCCGCAAGAAGUACUGAGGUGAAUGGAUGAAGCGGACGUAACACAGCCGGCUAGUUGUGGCAGCCAUUUGCUAAGCUAAAGGCUAUUGCUAAUACUCGACCGCUAGCUGACUAGCCUGUUGCAAGCCAACCUGCGUCUGGUCUCUCUGCAAUAACGUAUGUAACGGUAACAUCGAACAGCUUUUGUUUUUCAAGCAAAACUUGGACCACUAAGAACACGCCAGACUGAGGAGCCAUUCAGCUACACCUCCACACAGCCGCUGCAAAAUUCAGUCUGUUUGACCGACAUUAAAGUGUUUAAAGUACCGAUCCUUUUACAAAAGUUGUUAAGUGCUGUGUUCAUUAGAGCACAGACUCUCCCAUUGGCUACUCACGAAUGGGUUCCGAAUCAGCUCAAAUAGAUUACUAUUUGUACUUUUGCCGAAAAACAUGUCAUAGUCCAAAUAAAUAUUUUAACUUGAUCAAUUGUACCUCGACAGCGCUUUAUCUAUACCAUACAUUAUCCAAAGCGCUUUAUUUUAGUGUACAGCGACACAGCACCGUAUCAUCCUACGGAGAGACUGUCCUUUUUAGUUUAAAAUGACUUACUCUCACUUCACGCAUCCCUCACCGUACCCUGGCUCGUUGCAGAACCCAGAAUGGGUUUUAAUUCUCCUUUUUGUUGUUUUAAAUCCAUCCACGAUCUUUCGUACCAGCUAGCUAGCACUAAGCUAACCUGGGAGGGUUCGUCUCAUUGGUUCAGUGUCCAAGUUUGCAAACUUCCUUCAUGCUACGAUGGCAACCGAGGCCAACAGCAAAAUAAUAAAGUGUUGAGACACUCACGAAAUGGGCUUUAUUGAAUGACUGCUUAGCAGUUCAAUUUAAUGCUCAUGAGCCGGCUAAAAUUGCCGUACACAGUUGCCAAACAUUUCCGGUUGUCGCUCUCAAAGGAUGGACGAAUGUGCAGGUGUACCUAAUGCUGUGUCUGGUGAAUGUUUAAAAAAAAAAAAAAAAAAAAAAAAAAACAUCACCUGCAAUUAUUUGUCAUGAUUGCUGCACAGCAUGCCUUGCGCCUCACACCUGCCUUUGUGUGGCUCCGUUGGAGGGCUCAUGUCUCUUUGAUUCCUGUUCAAUAUUCCAAGGUGCUCUGUGGUGUUGCGAGGACCAACAAGCCUCCAUUAAACGCGUGAUUCUGUAUGCAUCCGGGGCUGUGGAGGGGAAGCCAUGUGAGAUAUCUCCCCAUCCCUCAUUCCAAUCACCUUUCGCUGCAUGCCCUCUGCUCAGGUAAUUAACUUCUCCCUCCACCGGGCCCUCUCUGCUCCUUAUCUGGACUCCAUUCUGUUAAAACUAUCAGCCUUCCUCACCCACCACCAUGUCUAAUUCCUCUGCUUGAAGGUGGGGAAUAAUCCAAGGCCAACACCUGCCCUCUGCCACUUCUUCUUCUCCUUCUUCUUUUCCUUCCAUCACAUCACUUCACACCCGCUCGGCAUCCCUCUACUCUUCUUUUGUCCCCCCCACCCUCCCACCCUUUUUUUAAAAAGGAAAAACAAGAAAAGGAACUGUGCUUUUCAACAAUUCUGUUCUCUCUGAAUGGAGAUUCAAGCGUGUGUGAUUGGAUUAAUUAAACGUGUUAUCCCGAUCUUUGAAAGGUGGACGUGAUCCCUGUUCACUCUAUCCUGAUUAGCAGUCUCUCUCUCUCUCUCUCUCUCUCUCUCUCUCUCGCUCUUUCUCUCACACGCACAGAUACAAGGUGAGCAAAGACAAGCUAAAUCUUGGACGUUUUGAAACUGCUGGGGAUUAAGGAACAGAUUGUAAUUGCUUUCUCCCUCCUCCUCCACCGUAGGUUCAUGUGGAUGAACGACUUGUUACUUCUCUGGGGCAUAGCGGGGAUGUCUUGGGACAAAGAGCCAAUGAGAGGAACAGGACAAGACGAAGAAGCUUCGGCACCAGCGCUAAUCAUUUAUGAUGUAGAAAAAGUGAGGCCGCUGGCAAGUGUGAAUCCUUGGACCGCGUGCGCCGACUUCACCCUAAAUUCCCGGAACCAAAUUUUACGGAUCCCCGUCCGCUCUUACUUGCGGCGCAUCUUAGCGGCUAGGUGACAAAACAUCCUCCCCUAUAUCACCGCCGUAAAGAGCACAAUACAACAGGGGUGUUGUUGGUCAGCGCAACAAUGGCACCGAAAUGAAAGAUGUGACCAAUCCGUUGUGGACACCUGAAGAGGGAGGAGGAGCUUCCACGGGGUUAUUUACAGCAGCAGAAGAGGCGACAGGUGCUGUCCGUGUGCGGUUAUGCUGCUCGCGUUCGAGUGUAUGUCAAGACGAGACUCCGUCAGUCCACUGGGACUUGAAGCAACACGUAACUGCGUCUGCCUGCCUCACAGUCAGCAGCCACCAUUGUCAAGCUGUGGGCGGAGUCACCAAGGAAAGGCUUCUUCUUGGCCAAUGAGAGGCCAGGGCAGAAGAUAGGAGGCGGGCUUCCGGACAGAACACUCUUCUAAGGUAUUUUAGAUUAUCUCCAAUUGUAUGCUUGGUUUUAAGAGCUCUGUUUUGAUUUGAAAUUAUUCGUGGGCAGUCAUUCAUAGUGGCGGGGAAGCUUUUUUUUGGGUGGUAAUUUCCGUGUUUUUUUUGCUGUUAAAAAGACAGCUCAGGCCCAUAAAUUAUUUUAUUGUUAUUCUUAAGGGUCAAUUACUUUUCGAAUUCUGGAAAUCACAUAAAAACAUGCAGCAACAUUCGGAUAUUUCGCAUAAAGGAAAA